GUUAAGAUACUUGGUAAUUGCAUAAAACUUAAAACUUUACAAUCAGGGGUUCAACUCCUCUUCUUAACA
rnacentral:tRNA from 1 species